GAGAGGUUUCUCUCAGUCCGUGCACGUGAACAGCUACUCUGCUAGCUAACUAUAAUUGUUACGUAAUAAGGACAAUGACAUUUUUAUAGCCAUGUUUAUCAGCAGGCCAACUUCAAUUAGCCGACAGAGCAGACACGGGGCUCGUUCGGUUCUUUACAACGCACACAUUGAAUGAGCAUAGCCGGGCAACUAUUUUAAGCACUUUUAACCAGCAAUUUUCAGUUCUUCACAGCACAGCUCUGCUGUUAUUCUAAGACUCUGGUGUAAACCACGAGACAUUUGAAGCUGUAACUUACAGGAACAAGUUUGUUUUUUUUUAAAACCAGAUAAUGGCUAAUUGGGCCAAAGUUCAUGUCUCAAGUUACAUAAUGUACUCCCCAGCAACAUACAUUACGUCGAUGUAUGUUGUAGGUACUGAUUGCUGACCUGACUUGUUGGUGGUUGACUGAGGCUAGACCACCGAAAAAGGCGACCAGUUGUGGUAUUAAUAUGCCUGAAGCAAGCACUCCCAAGGCUGGAUGAGGAUCAGCUGAGGUUACUGGUUGAGUGACUGCUUUUGGUUGUUGGAAUAGAAGAAGUUGCAGAUCUGGGUUAUGUGAAGGAGGAUGACAUCCAGGACAUCCUGACGCCCAGAGGAGAGUUUCUGUCUCCAUCUCCAUCUCCACCCUCACCUCCUUCUCCUGUGCCACACCCUGCCCUGUUUCCACCUAACUGGAUCACCACUUUUCAUGUGCCUUGGGAGAAAAUGGCUCCAAUUCAAAAGGCCAUUUCUAUGAAGCAGAGGGCAGCCCAGUCCGACAGAUUACUGAUGAUCAGAUGAGUUAUUGUGGAUGCAAUCCGGAUGCACUGCCCAAACCCCACCAGAGCCGAAUGUACUCAGAUAGCCAAGAAUAUUGUUGCUCAAUAUCCCAAAACUUUUGCUGAUAUCACAGAUGAGGGAGACCUCUUAGGUUGUGGUUACACUUCCCUCCUGAAUUAGAUCAAAACAAGAGUGGAACAUGUCAACAGGAACAACACUCCCUCAAGAAUAUGAAGACCAAAGAAGACAAACGAGAAUGAUAGUGAUGCCUCCCAGUCCCAGCCCAAAAGUACCUGCAGUCAAGUGGACAGUUAUGGAUGCAUCAACUGGCAGCCUCAUAACCUGCCUGAAGGAGAGACAGUAGAUUCUCUUGAGGUCAAGAGGCAGAUGUUGGUCAUGCUGUACAGGAAGGAAGGACCCAGAGGGGCAGAGAGGGGGAUGGUUGAUGACCUCAUGCACAUAACAUACCUAAAGCAGUGGCAACUCAUCAACUCCAGUCCUCCUUUCAGAGUCAAUGAUGUUAUGCACGAGUAUAGUGAGGAAUGUGUGUUGACUUAUGGAUGGACUAAAGACCUGGACCCUGAAUCCAUCCAUAAGUGAACCCACAUUCCUCAGUAUACUCGCUUUACUAGCUACUAUACUAGCUUUCUGAGACACUGUAGUUACUUCAAAUCAGUGCUAAGUCUUUGCUUCAUGAUGUUUUAUUAUUAUAAUAUAGGUCACUGCAACCCAGGCAGACAUCGAGGCACAUCAGCCGGUCCCAGGUGGAUGCUGUCCAUUGAAGGCAGUGACGCUGGACGGGAGUGCCAACUUUGUAGAUGCCUUUGCCGUGUUAUUUGCAUGCUACUUUGCGUUCAAUGCGGAGUACCAGCAGGCUGCUGCGUGUACUAUGGAGCUUGUUCAGAGGCAAGUUAAUUUCUUUCUGCAUUAUACUUCUGUAUUAUAAUUAAAUCGGUGUGCAACAGUAGAGUUGGAGCUAAAAGUAGCAGGACAGGAGGAAUUUGAGGACUGGGUU